rnacentral:sRNA from 1 species
UAUUUCNUAUUGUUGUUGUUGCCUUUGGCAGCCUGUGUGGCUUGAGUUGAUGGAGCAGAUACGGAGGCAAAAUCAACCUGGGUAAGAACCCCAAGUAUACCAAAUUGAUUGUCGUCCAUCUGCUUGUGUUUUUUUAGUCUUUCCCUUAAUUCAGAGGACUCCAAAUCUACGGUGGUUUCGAGCCGUUGUCUCAUGGUGGCAUUUAUGCUUGUUGUCGCUGUUGCAUUGUUGGUAAAUAUUGCAGUCGUUGCUUGCUGUGAAGUUGAUGCCUCUUCCUCCACUGCAUCAGAGUCCAUCUCGUUGGGAGAAAAACCAGGCAUCAUAUUUGCAAAACCUUGCAGGUGUGAUGCCUGUUUUUUUUUUGAUGAUUCGAUUCAGUGUUGCCUACUUUUCGGUUCCAUAACAAUAGCUGACAAAUAAAAACCAUUUGAUUUUUUCGAUUA